UACGAAGGGGGCUAGCGUUGUUCGGAAUUACUGGGCGUAAAGCGCACGUAGGCGGACAUUUAAGUCAGGGGUGAAAUCCCAGAGCUCAACUCUGGAACUGCCUUUGAUACUGGGUGUCUUGAGUAUGGAAGAGGUGAGUGGAAUUCCGAGUGUAGAGGUGAAAUUCGUAGAGAUUGGGAAGAACACCAGUGGCGAAGGCGGCUAUCUGGACGGUUUCUGACGCUAAGACGCGAAAGCGUGGGGAGCAAACAGG
rnacentral:rRNA from 1 species